AUUGAACGCUGGCGGCAGGCCUAACACAUGCAAGUCGAACGAGUGGCGGACGGGUGCGUAAUGUCUGGGAAACUGCCUGAUGGAGGGGGAUAACUACUGGAAACGGUAGCUAAUACCGCAUACCAUCGGAUGUGCCCAGAUGGGCUUAGCUAGUAGGUGGGGUAAAGGCUCACCUAGGCGACGAUCCCUAGCUGGUCUGAGAGGAUGACCAGCCACACUGGAACGGAGAAACGGCCCAGACUCCUACGGGAGGCAGCAGUGGGGAAUAUUGCACAAUGGGCGCAAGCCUGAUGCAGCCAUGCCGCGUGUAUGAAGAAGGCCUUAGGGUUGUAAAGUACUUUCAGCGGGGAGGCGUUACCCGCAGAAGAAGCACCGGCUAACUCCGUGCCAGCAGCCGCGGUAAUAC
rnacentral:rRNA from 1 species